UCUCGAUCUGUAGACCAGGCUGGCCUUGAACUCACAGAGAUCUGCCUGCCUCUGCCUCCCAAGUGCUGGGAUUAAAGGCGUGCGCCACCACCACCCGGCUGAAAUAUUUUCUAAUUUCUCCUUUAACCAAUAACUUACUUAGAAGCAUUUUGUUUAAUUCACAAGUACAGUCCUUGUUUGUUAUCCACAGGAAAUUGGUUCCAGGACCCUCUAUGGAUAGGAAAAUCAUGGAUGCUGAAGUCCCUUAUACAAAGAUGGAGCUCAGUUGGUAGAGUGUUUCCCCAGCAUUCAAAGUCCUGGGUUCCAUCCCCAGCACUGUGUAAAUGGGGCCGGGUGGUAUACACCUAUAAUCCCAGUACUUGAAGCAUAGAAGCAAGAAGAUCAGAAAUUUAAGGUUUUCCUCAGCUAUGUAGUUGAAUUUGGAGCCAAUCUGGAGUACAUGAUACCCUGUCUCAAAAAAAAAAAAAUGCCCAUGUAUAAAAUGGCACAAAUCAGCAUAUAAUGUAUGCACAUCAUCCUUUACAAUAUUUUUUACCAUGAGGAAUUGACUUUUAUAGGCAGACUUUCUCUGACCCUCCAGUCAGCUCUGUCCUACCAGCUGCCUCCCCAAAUAACCACACAGAGACUUAUUAUUAAUUAUUUGGUCAAUAGCUUAGGCUUGUUACUAACUAGUUAUUUCAACUUAAAUUAACCCAUAUUUCUUAUGGGUUACUCUAUCACAUGGCAGUACCUUUUUUCAGUACAGCAUGUUCAUCUGCUUCCUCUGAGCCUGGCUGGUGACGCCGCCUUUCUUCCAGCGUUCUCCCAGUUUGGCUCUCUCCCUAACCUCUUCCUGCCUAGCUAUUGGACAGUUAGUAUUAAACCAAUGAGAUCAAUACAUAUGCACAGUGUACAAAAGAAUUAUUCCACAGACUUUAUUAUUAUUUUGUUUGGUUGAUUGGUUGGUUGGUUGGUUGGUUGGUUGGUUUUUCAAGACAAGGUUUCUCUGUGUAGCCCUGGCUGUCCUGAAACUCUUUCUGUAGACCAGGCUGGCCUCAAACUCAAAUCUGCCUACCUCUGCAUCCCAAGUAGUGCGAUUAAAGGCAUGUGCCACCACUGCCUGGCUGACUUUAUUGUUUUAAUUAACAAUCUGCAUUUUUCUUUUUGUUGUUUUAUUCCUUGGCAGUUUCAUACAUGUUUAUAAUGUAAUUUUGUCAUUUCACCCACAUUUCCCUCUAUUCUGCCUCCCACUGCUGCUGAACUCCUUCUUCCCAUGAAGUUCUUCUGUGACUUCCUUCUUUUAAAAAAAGCAGGAAAGGUUUACAAAGCCAAAGUGAAAGUAGUCUUGACAGGGGAGGGAACCCAGAGUAGAAUCCUGCCCUGCUACUGUAGCUGGAAUUUUCUCCAGUCCCACUGGGCCCCCCGCAGUUCCGCAGCCCACUUAUAAAAUAAUCACUCAGAAGCUUAUAUUAAUUAAAAUUGCUCAGCCAUUAGCUCAAGCUAACUAUUGACUAGCUCUUACAUCUUAAAUUAACCCAUUUCUAUUAAUCUAUAAGUUGCCAUGUGGCUUGUGACCAGUACUUUUAUGUCUUGCUUCCUCUGUGUCUGGCUGGUGACUCCUGACUCAGCCUUCCUGUUCCCAGAAUUCUCUUUUCUGCUUGUCCUGCCUAUACUUCCUGCCUGGCUAUUGGCCAAUCAGCAUUUUAUUUAUCAAUCAAUCAGAGCAACACAUUCAUAGCAUCCCCAGCAUGCUACUUUCUUGUCUUGCUUUUUGUUUUGUUUUGUUGGCUUUUUAUGCCCCACUGGGCUUACUGAGGAUUGCCUGCAUGAGCACUGGUGAAAGUUAUUUUCUGUUCCAUGGGUAACUUAGCAGUGCUCCUUUACAACUGAAACCAUCUUUAAAUUGCUUAUGUUACUAGUACAAUGUAAAUGCUAUAAAAUACUAUUUACAUUGUGUUAUUUAGAGAAUAAUAGCAAGGAGGGAAAUUUGUAUCUAGUAUAUAUGGAAUUAGAAAAAUAUUUUUUAAUAAUUUAUUUAAAUUUAUUUCAUGUGCAUUGUGUGAGGGUGUCAGGUCCCCUGAUCUGGAGUUACAGACAGUCAUGUGCUGCCAUGUGGGUGCUGGGAAUUGAACCCUGGCCCUCUGGAAGCGCAGACAGUGCUCUUAACCUCUGAGCCAUCUCUCCAGCCCCAGAAAAAUAUUUUCUAAGCACAGACGCUACAGGCUGUAAGUCUGUUGGGCUUGCCCACCUUUCUGAGUCCAAGACAUAAGUUCUCCUUUUCUGUCUCUUUCUUUUGAACGCUGGCCAGAGCCUACAUAAGCUUUUUUCUGGUACUUUGUGCUCCCUUAGUUUUUCUCUAAGGCUCCCCUUCUGGCUGAGUGGCUAUCUGUCCACCAUAUGGUUGACCUCCAUGUCAGCUUAACUCAACUGAAAUAGCUAAUUUUCCUUCUCUUCUCUCUUCUCCUCUGUGCAGCUGAUAAGAUUUAUUGCUUGCCUGCCCUGAAUUUUUUUAAACUCUAACACAAUUAUAUUAUAAAAUUAUCCUCAAGCUUCAAAAGAAAUAUUGGUUGGUUGAUUGGAUCCAUAGAUAUGGAACUAUGAAUACAGAAGGCCAACUAUAACAUUUUACAGAUUAUCUUUUUGCUAUUGGUUUUUCAUGUGAUUCCAUUGUAGUGACAGUUUAUUAAUUUCUUCUGAAUUUAUUGAGACUUGUUUUAAGGUCUAGCAUAUGGUUAGCUUUGCAAUGUGCCCUGUGUGUUCCAUAUUCUGUAGUUAAGUACAGAGUUCUGUGUCAAGGAGGUCAAAGUACUUGUUAGUGCAAUACAAGUCUCAAUACCCUCAAUGAUUUCCCAUCUCCCCAUUCUUGUCUUGCCGACUCAGAAAGUUAUUGCAAUGUUCAACUGUAAUAAUGGAUUCAUGUUUCUUUCUUCAGCUCUGUCAGAUUUUGUUGUAGGUAUUUUGAAGCUGUCAUUGAAUACAUUUAUUCUUAAUUUACCUUUUUAUUCUUAUGAAGUACCCUUCUGUCACUAGUAAUGUCCCUUCAGAAGUUGGCUUUAUCUGGCAUGAAUAUAGCCACUCUAGCUUUCUUAGACAUAGGUUUUUUUCAUGGUAUAACUUUUUCCAUAUUUUAAUGUAUUUGUGUCUUAUAUUUAAAACCAUUUAUGGCCAAGCAUGGUGGCUCACACCUGCAAUCUCAACACUUGAGAGGUUGAGGAAGAAUGAUUGCCAUCAGUUCAAGGUGAGGCUAGGCUACAAGUGUGAGACUUGUCUCUAAAAAAAAAAAAAAAAAACAAAGAAAAAACAGCCAGAGAGAUGGCUCAGUGGUUAUUCUUCCAGUGAACAAGGGUUCAAUUCUAAGGGAUCACAACAUCUUUAACUCCAGUCCCAGGGGAUCAAAUGCCUUCUUCUGGCCUCUGAAGGCACCAGGCCUGCAUGAGGAUACAUGGACAAACAUGUAGGCAAAACACCCAUACACUUAAAAUCAAAUUAAAAAAUAUUUAAGCCAAGCAUUAGAGUUGGAUGCAGGGGGAUCAGUGUUACCACUCUAGAGGCAGUGGGACCUAGGAGAAUGGAGCAGAUAAACAGAUAAAUGGGGUGGACUAAAGUCUUAUGCAAUAGCCAACUUUAUUCAGAGCCUCCAACAAUUUAUACUCAGAAUUAAGAAAGGUCACUUGGAGUAAAGUUCUCAAGAAUUCAAAUUGUAUACAAUCACAAGCACACAUGGCAAAACGUGUUUCUCCAUAGAGGCAUGUAAAGGAUAGUUUAUAAACAUUUAAUUGAAUAACAUCAGCAAGCAAUAAUGAGUAAUCUGCACUGGGCGGUGGUGGCGCACGCCUUUAAUCCCAGCACUCAGGAGGCAGAGGCAGGCAGAUCUCUGUGAGUUCCAGGAAAGGCUCCUGUAGACGAAUUUCUAAACAGUCUUAUUAAAUACGAAACACAGAGCCAAAUACAGAGGUAAUAGCCAAAGAGAUCAGAGUGAAUAGCCACAACUAGCCUUAGCUUACCACCAGCAGUAGCUUCCACAGAGAGAGUUUCUUUGUGUCUGACCUGUCUUUUUAUUGCCUUCCUGUUCUGCCUUCUCAUUGGCUCUAAGCCCAGCCACAUGACUUCCUCGUGACUGCCUGUCUAUACAGACCUCCAGGUGUCUAUGGUUGAUACUGGGAUUAAAGGCUCAGGUCACCAUGCUUGCUGUGUCCUUGAACACACAGAGAAUCUCCUUGCUGUGUGAUCAUAUUAAGGGCACGUGCUACCACCACCUGACUUCUGUUUAUGGCUCACUUUCCCCCCGAUCUCCAGGCAAACUUUAUUUAUUAACAUACAAAUAAAAUACCACAUUUCAGCACAAAUAAAAUAUCACCACAUUUCCCCUUUUUAUUCUAAUAAAAAGAAAAAAGUUAUAACUAAUAUAAGAGAAACUAUAUACAAUAAGUACAAUAACUAUAUACAAUAUAUACAAGCAAUAAAUACCUCAACAAUGUCUAGUCCAUUUGCUUUUGACAAACUCAGAGAAAAUAUUCCAUUAUCUAUCCUAUUUUGGUAAGUCCAAAAUGUACCUGAUUGCCCUGGCAGGACUGGAGAAAACUCCAGCUACAGGCUCCAAAGCCACACAGAGAAACCCUGUCUCAAAAAACACCCCCCAAAAAGAAUGAGUGAUCUGAAGUAAACUCUUCAGUGCUACACCUGGGAGGAGCACGAAACCACAUUCUAAGAACAAUUCCAUGCUUUGAAGAAACUGAGGUCACAAGACUCUUGUUUUCUUGGAGUAUUGUCACAAGCACUCAGAAUUCUACUCACAGUCCAUCCCUGGACUGUGUUCGGAUAUAUCAGGAGUUCGAGGUCAGCCUAAACUGCAUAGAUAACCCUUGACUCAAAAAACAUAAUAGCCAGGCGUGGUGGUGCAUUGCUUUAAUCCCUGCACUUAGGAGGCAGUGGCAGGAGGAUCUCUUUGAGUUGGAGUUCCAGGACAACCAAGAACAAUGAAAUAAAAUAGUAACAAAAAAGACAAAAAAACAGAGCUAUUGAGAUGGCUCAGCAGGUAAGCUCCUUGCCACCAAGGCUAACAACCUAAGUUUGGUCCCUGGGAUGCAUAUGGUAAAGGAAAAAAGCAAACCCUACAACUUGUCCUCUGACCUUCACAAGUAUGCUGUGGAACACUAAUAUACACGCUCAUACACACACACACACACACACACACACACACACACACACACCAAAUAAACGUAAUUUUAAAAAUACAUAGAUACAUAUAUAUAUAUAUCAUAUAUAUAUAUUUAUAUAUGCUUAAAAGGAAGGGAAUGAAGAUCAUUCAUGGGCGAAGAGUUAGCUCACUGAUGGAACACUUGCCCACCGCCCAUGAGAUUCAGAAAGGGUCUCACAUAUAGCCCAGGUUGGCCUCCCCACUCUGAUUCCCCUGCCUUCUGAGUGCUGGGAUUGUAGGCCUUCACUAACAGGCCCAACCAUAUUAACUAUGUUUGACCCUGUUUAACUUCAUUUUUUUUGGACACAGGGUUUCUCUGUGUAGUCCUGGCUGUCCUGGAACCUACUCUGUAGACCAGGCUGGCCUCAAACUCAGAGAUCUGCCUGCCUCUGCCUCCUGAGUGAUGGAACUAAAGAUAUACACCACCAUUGCUGGGCUUCAGCUUGUUUGCUUAUACAACUCAUGACUACCUGCCUAGUGGUGGAAUCAAUCAACAAUCAAGAAAAUGCCCCCACAGGCCAAUCCAAUCAAGGCAAUGCCCCAAUUGAAACUCCCUCAGAUAACUCGUGUCAAACUCAUAGCGGAAGCUAGCUGAGAAACCUGAUUUAUUUAUUUAUUUAUUUUUUAUUUAAUUUUUUUUUUUUUUUGGUUUUUUCGAGACAGGGUUUCUCUGUGUAGCUUUGCGCCUUUCCUGGAACUCACUUUGGAGACCAGGCUGGCCUCGAACUCACAGAGAUCCGCCUGCCUCUGCCUCCCAAGUGCUGGGAUUAAAGGCGUGCGCCACCACCACCCAGCGAAACCUGGUUUAUUAUACCCUGAGUUCUUUAAGUGUCUGAAUAGCGAGAACCUUCCACAAAAACACACUCUGGUACUCAAAUUUAUUUUAAAUCCCAAAGAUAGUUGUAUUUUGAAGUCUGCUUUCACUUACAUUUCCCCUCAUAUAUAUUCUUUCUAGGACUUUCCAUUGAAUGAAAAAAAAGAAAAGAAAGGGACAUGAAUGCUCCUACGUAUGUUGGAGGAGAAAGCUUAUUAUAAAUUUGUGGGAGAGCAUAACCAGGGGUAGGGACAUCUGGGAGAGUACUGAGUGGACAUGGCCAGACUGAGCUGGGCCAUGUGAGAAGAGGAAGGAGGGAAAACAGGUACAACAGCCGGGAGACCCAAAAAAUUACUAGACAAGAAAGAAUGACCAGAUAACCAAAAUGUCUGGAUUAUAUAGGGAAGGGCAGCUAGGGGAAGGGCAGCCCAGUACAGCUCCUGGACUAGAGAAUUCAGGGUAGGGAGCAGGGUAUGCCAGCCAGGAGAGUCCUGUAACUGGUAGGGUCUGAGGGAUGCAGGGAGAACCUGGCAGCCAACAUCAGCUUUGAUGCAUUAAAUAGUCACCUCAAUCUUUGGCCCAGGUUUGAAACCUGACAUCCAUGACUCCUUGCACACCUAUUCUUUCAUCUAAGACCUGCCUCUCCUUCUCCUCCUUCUCCUUGUCCUUCACGGUCUCAAAUUACUUUAUUUCCUGGCAGAAAAUAAAGUUAAGAAAAUAACCAGAUGAUCAUAUUAGAAAUAUUGAAGCUGCUUUAUAAUAACCACUUCAUGAGAAUGACACCCAUUCUCAGCAAUUUUAAGGACACUGCAAACAGUACUCUGAAUCUUUAAAGGCAUUUGUCACCAAGCCUGUCUGUAUAGCUAGAGUUUUCCUGCCUGGCCCACAGUCAGGACAAAUCUCUCUCACCUGCCAGUCCCACAGCCGCUCAGACCCAACCAAAUAAACACAGAGACUUAUAUUGCUUACAAACUGUAUGGCCAUGACAGGCUUCUUGCUAACUGUUCUUACAGCUUAAAUUAAUCCAUUUCCAGCUUGGUAUAUUUGGGAAUUUGGGCGUAGCUUCUCUUACUACUUCCUGCUGGAGGGGGGCACUGUAUCUUAUGGGGACACAAAGAAAAUUUUAGGAUUAUGGAGUAGUCCAUGAGGCUGUAUUGUCUGAGCCAGUUGCCUUCAAACCAUUCUGGAUGUUGGAUCAUCUGGGCCAUGGUGUCAUCGGAGACCUUCGGGGUCUUGGCUGGUCAAACUUGAUGUAUCUUAAUCUGGAACAAAUCCAUAGCCUCUUGCUUUCUGUGGAAACAAAAGCAGAGCUUCCUUUGCAAAGCAACGUAUCCUUACAUCCAAAUUUUGAAGUCAAGGUACCUUUAAAAUAUACAUUUUGGCAUAACUCAACAGCUUUUAUAAUCAAAUGUUUUUCUUCAGUUACAAAUAUCAAAGACAACAUAAUCCAGAUUCUCUGUGUGGUAGCCAUCUUUACGUGGCUUAUUUUUUAUAUUACCUUGAGCCUAUUGCUUUAAACUGCAGCAUUUUAAGACUGAAACGGCACUGUGGCUGCUGGCUCCGCCCACUUCAGCUUCCCAACAUGGCGGUGGUAUGUUUUCCAACAGCUCUGGGAGCCAUCAACUCUCAGAAAUAGUGGGUCUAUGCUUCUAUCAAAGCAGCAUGUAGCCCAGAAACCUCUUUUUUUUUUGUUUUGUACUAGCAAAGGCUAAAUCCACCACACAGCUUAAUGUGCCACUUGUAGAGGCCUCAUUCCCACCAUAUUGCAGGUCGAGCACGCACACCAGGAACCCGCCAUAGUAGCUCAAACAUGCAGGCUGCCACUAACUUGAGAGAAACAACUAGGAACUGUUUUUAGCUCCGUUUUAGAAUCUUUUUUGUCAGGUUUUAGGUGGAAACUCUUGCCAAUACGUUGGACGCCAUUUGUAGCUAGAGUUUUGUAGCCUGGCCCACAGGACAAAUCUCUGUCACCUGCCAGUCCCACAGCCGCUCAGACCCAACCAAGUAAACACAGAGACUUAUAUUGCUUACAAACUGUAUGGCCAUGGCAGGCUUCUUGCUAACUGUUCUUACAGCUUAAAUUAAUCCAUUUCUAUAAAUCUAUACCUUGCCACGUGGCUCGUGGCUUACUGGCAUCUUCACAUGCUGUUUGUCAUGGCGGCGGCUGGCAGUAACUCCCUUUCCCUUCCUGUUCCCUUAAUUCUCCUCUCUGUUAGUCCUGCCUACACUUCCUGCCUGGCCACUGGCCAAUCAGUGGUCUAUUUAUUGACCAAUCAGAGUAAUUUGAUAUACAGACCAUCCCACAGCAUGUCUGCUGUGGAAUAAUCCUUCUAUACACACUGUGAAGAUUUGUCACUCAAAUUGGUUUAAUAAAAAGCUGGCCUGGAACAUGCUAUCUAGGCCAAGCUGGGCUCGAACUCACAGAGAUCCUCCUGCUUCUGCCUCUGCCUCCCCAGUACUAGGAUAAAAGGCCUUUCCCACCAUGCCUGGUCCUUUUGUAGACUUUUAAAGGAGAGGUUUUCUAACAUUAGCAGUUUGGAGAAGGCCCUAAAUAGGCUGUAAGACUUUGACUCAGGUUGCCUUGGACCUGGGCAGCAGGAAGCUGAUCCUAUUAUCUUGUCCUACCCUGGGGCUGUUAAGUGCUAGGAAUCUAGCAGUUUAGAGAAGGCACUAGAUAGGAUAUAAAACUGUAGCUCUGAUUGGCUUGGGCCCAAGAUGAGAGAGAAACUGCAGAAGGUGGUGGCUAAUUGCCCUACAGUGGUAGAUCUAAUAGCUGGGAUUACAGUCCUGCAACAUCAGACCUAGUUUGAACACCCUACCUUUUAAUCGUAACUCCCAGGUACCCUGUUUUCCCUUCCAACCAGAGUCGUCACUAAUCUUUCUGUCAAUGUAGAUUUACUCAAGUGUGAAGGCUAGGGAUGUAGCACCAUUGGUAGAGUGCUUACCUAGCGUUCAGGACUUUGAGUUCAUUCCUCAGCACCACAUAAACUGGUGUAUACCUAUAAACUGGUGCAUACCUAUCUUAGUACUUACAGGAUAUACAUGAAAUAUCUUGCAGUUCUUUCAAACUAGCUCCAAAGUGGCAGCACACAUGUGAUUAUAAUGCCUUUGGAUUAUGCCCAUUCUAGUGGGUAUGUUAUUAUUGUUUAGUUUUUGUUUGUUUAGUUGGCUAUUGAUAUCUUUUAAGGUUUUAAAACAAGAUCUCACUGUUUUGCCCAGGAUAGCCUCAAACUCUUGGGUUUAAGGGUUAGAGAGAGAUCACAGCAAUUAAGAGACCCUGCUACACUUCCAGAGAACCUGACUUUGGAUCCCAGCAUCCAUAUCAGGCUACUUACAACCACAUAUAACUCCAAGGAAUCUGACACCUUCUUCUGGUUUCUUAGCUACCUAUAUACCGGUGGCAUAUACUCACACAGAUAGAAAAAUAACAAGUGAAUAAAUAAAUACUCUUGGGUUCAGGGUUGGGGAUUUAGCUCAGUGGUAGAGCACUUGCCUAGCAAGCACAAGGUCCUGGGUUCGGUCCUCAGCUCUGAAAAAGAAAAGAAAAGAAAAUACUCUUGGGUUCAAGCAAUCCUCUUGCUUCUACCUAUGGAAUACCAGGAACUACAGUACAUGCUUCCAUGCCCAGCUACUUCCUGUUUUUGGUUUUCUUUUUUUUUUUUCAUUCUGUUUUGGAUUGGUUUUUGCUUUUUUGAGACAGAGUCUCACUAUGUAGCCCUGGUUGUUCUGGAACUCACUAUGUAGACCAGGCUGGUCUCCAACUCACAGAGAUCCACCUGUCUCUGCCUCCCAAAUCCUGGGAUUAAAGGCAUAUUCCACCGUACCUGGCCAUACCAUACUGGCCAUACUUGUAGUUUUGCAUUUCCUUCCUGAGCAUCUUUGCAUAUAUGGGAUCAUUUUUCUUUAGCUUGAAGAAUGACUUGUAGUGUUGCUUAUUUUAGUCAUGUGUGGCACAUACCUCUCAUCCCAACACUCGGGAGGCAGAGGCAGAAGGAUCACUGCAGUUUAAUUGCAGUCUUGUCUGUAAGGUGAGUUCCAGACCAACCAGGGCUAUAUAGCAAGACCCUGUCUCAAAAGAAGUUUUUUUCUUGAGCUGGCAAGAUGACUCAGAAGGUAAAAGUGUUUGUCAUAUUGUCUGAUGACUUGAGUUUGAUCUCCAGAUCAAACUGUUUGAUCCCACAGUGGAAGGAAAGAACUGAUUCCCAAAGGUUGUCCUCUGACCUUCACAUGUGUACCAUGACAGAAGCAUACACACCCAUCACCCUCACACACAAAUUAAAUAAAUAAGUAAAUAAAUAAUAAUAAAGCAUUUGAGCCAGGUGUGUUGGAGUAGAGCUUUAAUCCUAGCACUUUGGAGGCAGAGGUAAAUCUUUGAAUUUAAGACGAGCUUGGUCUACAUAGUUUCAGGACAGCCAGGGCUACACAGACUGUCCCAAAAAAGAAAAAGAAGGGCUGAAAAGAUGGCUCAGUGGUUGAGAGCACUGGCUGCUCUUUCAGAGGAUCCAUUCAGAACCCACAUGACAGCUCACAACCAUCUGUAACUCCAGUUCCAGGGGAUCUGAAGUCCUCGCACAGACAUACAUGUAGGCAAAAUACCAACGUACAUGAAAAUGAACAAAUCCUUUAAAAAAGAAAAGAAAAAUUUAAAACUGAGCAGCUAAAUUAAAUAUCUUUAAUUUUUUUCUUAUUUUAUAGGAAGACUGGCAAUAUGUUAACCCCAACAACUGUGUGAAAAUGUAUUUAAUUUACUAACUUUUUUUGUUGUUUUUGUUUUUAUUUGAGAUGGGGUCUCAAGUAACUUAAUCUGGCUUUGUACUACUUAGAUAGUGGAGGCUGACCUUGAACUCCUGAACCUUCUGCUCCAGCCUUUGGAGUGCCAAGAUUAUAAGUGUGAGUCACAGUAAUCUUGCCUUCAUUUUUUAAAGGGUAUUUUACUGGGUCUUUUGGCAGUUUUUCACCAUAUUUAAAGACUUAUAUUACCUUCUGCUGUGGGAUGGUCUGUAUGUCAAAUUGUUCUGAUUGGUCAAUAAAUAAAACACUGAUUGGCCAGUGGCCAGGCAGGAAGUAUAGGCGGGACUAACACAGAGGAGAAUUAAGAGAACAGGAAGGGAAAGGGAGUCACUGCCAGCUGCCGCCAUGACAAACAGCGUGUGAAGAUGCCGGUAAGCCACAAGCCACGUGGCAAGGUAUAGAUUUAUAGAAAUGGAUUAAUUUAAGUUGUAAGAACAGUUAGCAAGAAGCCUGCCACGGCCAUACAGUUUGUAACCAAUAGAAGUCUCUGUGUUUACUUGGUUGGGUCUGAGCAGCUGUGGGACUGGUGGGUGACAGAGAUUUGUCCUGGCUAUGGGCAAGGCAGGAAAAUGCUAGCUACAACCUUCCAUUAUUUCUCUUGAAAAGUUAGAUUCUUUCCUUCUUGCUACUUUAAAUAGUUUCUUGUCUUUGAUUUUCAGUAAACCAUGACGUGACUAAGUGUGGUUCUCAUUGUAUUUAUUUUACUUAGUAGUUGUAAUCUGUAUUUUGAUAAGUUUUUAAUGGGUUUGAGGAAAUUCUCAACCAGUAUCUCUGCAAAUACUGUUUCUAUCUUUUCCUUCUGCCUUUGAGGGAAUACCCACUUUAAAUCCUGUUCAUAUUGUUAUCCAGUGCCCUCAGUUCAAAAGAUAAUAUCCUGGCCAGGCUUGGUGAGGUGACACACACUUGAAAUCCUAACUCUUGGGAGGUGGAGGUUCUGGAAGGAGCUCAAGGUCAUUCUUCGCUACAAAACCAGUUUGAGGGCACCCUGAACUUCAUGAGACCUUGUUUCGAAACAAAACAGCAACAAAAACCCCAGUGCCCUGCCAGACAGGUAGCUCAUGCCUUGGAGGUUGAGGCAGAAGAACUGCUGGAGUUCAAGAUCAGCCCAUUAUACAUCAAAAUCCUGUGUCAGCACCCCCUCACACACCAAAGGAAAGAGAAACAAUCCUAUUGCUAGGAUUCUGCCCCCACUCCAGCUACAUGACCCCACAUGCACAGUUCAGGAGCUAAGCAAGGGGUCUUAAGUCUUACAUCAUCAGUGUGCGCAGGUGAUUACAUGUGUGCAGCAUGGUGACACAAUCUGCUCAUGCGUGGCGUAGCUCCAUAAGCCCACCUGCACAUGUUCAUGGGAAUCCUUUAAAAAGCUGGACACAGACUCCUCCUCUCUCUUCUCUGUUCUCUCCUCCCCCCACUAUCUCUUCUCUGUCUCUGUCUCUGUCUCUGUCUCUGUCUCUCUCUCCACGUGCUUCUUCCCCAGGCCUGGUUCUUUUGUCGUCCCCCCCCCCCCCCACCUCCUAAUAAAGCUCUGAUACUGAGUUUUGUCAUGGCUCAUGCCUCAUGACCUUUCCGCAUGGUAAACAGUGCCCCUUAACAUUUUUAAAAAACAACAUUGAUGCUGUGACGACACAGGCUCUUCCAGCGCCUGCGUCGGGGCUCUGCGUCCAGGAUCCUGUACGGAGGUUUAUUGGACUUGCGACUGCCCGCUCGGCUUUUUCCAUUUGCCCAGCUGCCUGAUCGCUCUGCAAACCACACUUGAUAACCAGGUUGGUGAGUUUCCUCUUUCUGAUCCCUUGACAUUUCGCGAACUGUAGCCUGAGAUACAUUCCUCGCCCCAGACCCCCAGGGGGUCCUCGGCUGCAUACCACGACACACAUUUUCUCUUGAAGAAGUAUUGAAUGCUGUCUAGACUCCCGGGGAGUCCUCCAGUAUGUAUGCCCCCCCCCAGCCCUUGCCCCUUCCAUGAUGGUUCAGGUAACUUGUGCUGUUAGUGCUGGUCCACAGACUACAUAUCCUCAAGGAACCUUGAGAUAGAAGCCUGGGAUCCUGUUUGUUAUUUUAUUUUAUUUUUUGGUUUUUCGAGACAGGGUUUCUCUGUAACUUUGGAGCCUGUCCUGGAACUCGCUUUGUAGACCAGGCUGGCCUCGAACUCACAGAGAUCCGCCUGGCUCUGCCUUCCGAGUGUUGGGAUUAAAGGCGUGCGCCACCACCGCCCGGCUGUUAUUUUAAUUUUUUGUUUUUUUUUUCUCUCGGCUGCAGUCAUGGGACAUGGAGGCUUCCUCCUCGUGGUUCCACUCCUCUUAAAAAUGCCUUAAAUAUCCCCAGAUAGAUACCAGGAAGUUUGGCCACGUAACAGCUGCUUGAACCCUGAUAUUUCACGGGAAUUAUCUAACUUCUGCCAGCAAAGGGACAAAUGGAAAGAGUUACCUUAUCCCCAUGCUUUUACCUAAGCUCUAAACCCUCCUUUUCUGAUUCUCUCUCCUGCCUAUGUGCAUUCCUGAACCUAAGGAAUCUCUGACUUCAAAGAACCUUACUUUUCUGUUCUUCACUCUGUUCUCCGGUACCAGGUGGGCUGCUAAGCACGGACAGGUCUGGAAGCAGGCUAGGAUGCAUGCAGAUAAGUUUACAAUCAGGACCCACAUGGGGAUCACAAUAAUCUGGAUGGCUCUUUAGCCAGAGAUCAGUUUACAGCCUGCCUCCUGGCAGGUCUUCCUAAAGCUGUCCUCAAGCCACCAAACUAUCAAAAAAAAAAAAAAAUUCAAGACACAGAAUAAAAUCCAUCCCUUGUCUCCCAGAGCUCCCUGACAUUAGGGCUAAAACUUAAGCAUCUGGAGAGCAAGGCUCCUGACCCCACAGGCAGGAGUGUUAGUGGUGGCAUUUAAAGUGUACCAUGGGAGAGAUGAAAAAGCCCAAUAAAGAAACUGCCAAAUGCUGACACAGGCUAUCCAACUGGCUCCCCAAAAGCCACUGGCCCUGUUUUAAGUGUGGGAAAGAAGGCCAUGGGGCUCGAGUUUGCACCACUGCCCCACAGGGGCACCAAUAGGGCCUUGCCCAAAAUGCUGCCAGAAGGGUCACUGGUCAGCUGACUGCCCCAGUGUACCUAGCAGCAUGGGGACAUCAGAUCAGGACCACCCUCCAGCUGACCUCCUAGGCUUAGCCUUCAGCAAUGACUGAAGCUGCCCAGUUCCCAGCCCCGCUACUCCCAUCUCAUACAGGGAACCCAGGGUAGUAAUAAUAAUAUCUGGGCAACCCAUCUCCUUCCUUCUGGACACCGGAGCCACUUACUCAGUCCUGAGGGAGUUUUGGGGUCCCACCUCUCCUCAUUUCCCUAUUGUCGGGGUAGAGGGACAGCCUUACCCACCUCACCAGACUUAAUUGUACUUUCAGGAGUACUUAAUGGGAAAAGAUUUUCCAGCUAAAGUAGGAGCUUUCAUUUCAUUUGCUCCCUCCAUGUGCCUCACUCCAGACCUGUCAGCAGUGCUUCUCCUCCUCGUGCACAGUGACACAGAUAGGGCCCUGAUCUCUCUCAUGUUCCAGAGGACCUCAGGAUCCACUGCCUUGUCCCCAAUUCCAGAAGAAUGAGGUCUUACCCCACAAGCUUUUCUCUUCCUGUUUCCCUCUCCUAAUUAACUACUCAGCUAAUUGUUACAGGAUCACCAUAGCUCUGGAAUCCAAGGACCAUCAAAAAUAUACCCAGGUGGUAAAGGAACAGUAACAGUUAAAAGCUCUAGAAAAUCCACCUGGACAAGUCAGUGAGCUCCGGAACCAGCUUGGAUCCACCUGGACAGCACCCAAAAGCAGCAGACGACCCCAGGACAGCUUGCUACCUCAGAAGCCCCCUUCCCUACCCCCCAAGAGUCAACUGACACCCACCAAGUCAGCUGGAAGUAGUUUUUCUGGGAGAAACGACGCACCUAUUCCUGUUCACCUGCUUUUUCAUAAUAAGCAAAAAGUCCGAAAUGUUAGGAUUCUGCCCCCCACUCCAGGUGCAUGACCGCACAUAUGCAGUUCAGGAGCUAAGCAAGGGGUCUGUGUCUUACGUCAUCAUUGCACACUGGUGAUUAUUUGCACGUGGCAUGGUCAUGCAAUCUGCACAUGUGAGGGGUAGCUUCGUAAGCCUACCUGCGCAUGUUCACGGGAAUCCUUAAAAAGCCGGACACAGACUCCUCCUGUCUCCUCUCUGUUCUUUCCUCCUCCUCUCUCUCUCUCUCUCUCUCUCUCUCUCUCUCUCUCUCUCUCUCUCUCUCUCUCUCUCUCUCUCUCUCUCUCUCUCUCUCUCUCUCUCUCUGCUCUCUGCAUGUGCUUCUUCCCCAGGUCUGGUUCUUUUGUCCCCCCUCCUCCUAAUAAAGCUCUGAUACUGGG